rnacentral:misc_RNA from 1 species
UGCUGUUGAAAGGAAAAACUCAUCUAACACCUUCCCAUGUUCUGCAAAACGAUAAAAAUAUUAAAUAAGAAGGGGAAUAUAUUAUAAUAAGCAGAUAAAUUCACCUGAAAACUUGCCCAUUUCAUAUUCCAAAGCUUGCCAAAUCAUCUCAACCUAAAGAGAACAACAAAAUUUUAGAUUAACAUUCCAAGGAAUGGAAUACAUAAUACAAAAGGUAAUAUAAAAACAAAACAAAACACAUGUUCUAGCAUGUAGUUCAUUUAUUUAUCAACAAGAAAGAAAAGAGACAUCACCUAAUGGGACUUAAAAACGCAUUAAUGUUGCAAUAGUAAGCUGUAAAUAGGUUAUAGAAACACCAAAAGAUCUCAAUUUGAUCAAGAGAAAACUUCCUCAGGCCAACACAAGGUUUUUUUUUUCCCCCUCAUUUCUAAGAAGCAUUGCACUUAAUGCAUACAAGAUGACACGGAAAUCAUAAGUAAACUGGUGCAAUCAGUGAACUCAUGAAUGAGCUCAGUACAAGCUAGUUUCUUUCAUUUAUGAAACCAAAUGAACAAUUAUAAAAGAAUUAGCAUAAGAUAAGUGAGUUCAACUUGAUUAUGUUCAUGAACAGGCCCAUUUACAUUUGUUUAGCUGCUCAUAUAAAUUUAAUAGAAGCCCCAAUUUAAACUAUCCAUAUUUGAUCUUAUACAUUUAGUAGAAUAUUGUCUUUAAGUUAUAGCAUGUUAUGAAAUUUUAGCAAUAAUACUUCUUAUAAAUAAAAUAAAUAACUAUAGUGUAAGAUAUAUGUUAUAGAAUAUACUUACAUGACUAAAGAAAAAGAAAACGUGAGAAAGAUGCAAGACUUUAUACUACAAGACCACAAAUAAUAUAGAAAGAGAGUUGCCCUGAUUCAUAUUAAAUGGACCCACUUUAUAAUCUAGGGGUUAAAAACAUUAUUUUUCAUAUUAAUUUAAAAUAAAUAUUGCAAAUAAAAUGUUUAAUUUGGCUCAAGCUCAAUAACUUUUAAUUGAAGAAGCACUAUACUAAUUGACCAACUUCUUGAAUCAUAAACCUAUUUCUUUAACAAAUAAUUCUAAAUUAAAUGCUCAAGUCAUGCAUACUUUGUCAAAAUCUUUCACAAGG